rnacentral:rRNA from 1 species
AUUGAACGCUGGCGGCAGGCUUAACACAUGCAAGUCGAGCGGGGUGAUGGUGCUUGCACUAUCACCUAGCGGCGGACGGGUGAGUAAUGCUUAGGAAUCUGCCUAUUAGUGGGGGACAACAUCUCGAAAGGGAUGCUAAUACCGCAUACGUCCUACGGGAGAAAGCAGGGGGUCACUUGUGACCUUGCGCUAAUAGAUGAGCCUAAGUCGGAUUAGCUAGUUGGUGGGGUAAAGGCCUACCAAGGCGACGAUCUGUAGCGGGUCUGAGAGGAUGAUCCGCCACACUGGGACUGAGACACGGCCCAGACUCCUACGGGAGGCAGCAGUGGGGAAUAUUGGACAAUGGGGGGAACCCUGAUCCAGCCAUGCCGCGUGUGUGAAGAAGGCCUUAUGGUUGUAAAGCACUUUAAGCGGGGAGGAGGCUCCUUUGGUUAAUACCCAAGAUGAGUGGACGUUACUCGCAGAAUAAGCACCGGCUAACUCUGUGCCAGCCGCCGCAGUAA